rnacentral:lncRNA from 1 species
GCUAGAUAUGCUUAUUCCACAUUUAUCUCUCGGUCCCCACUGCGCGGGUGAAUAACGAGUUAGAACAACAAAAAACUAUCUUGUUAGGAACUUACAGCAAAAUGGGGGUGCACCGAAACCUAGAGGAAGGAUUUCCAGCACCGAGGUCCGGUAAUUGAGUCUCAUACACUAGCCAACUGUGCAACCGGAGAUCCGGGCUGACUGAUCCGCGCGGCACACCCCGCGGCUACAGACAGCGGGGAGCCGCAGAGAAGCGACCAGCAAGCAGGGAGAUUCCUGCAGAUUCUGUGGAAUCCUGACGCCUGAGCACUCACGGAGCCCCGGGCUGAGUUCGGGAUUUCAGACGGGGAAGGAAGCGGGACAGCUCUAUCCCCCACAACAGAAACUCCACCAAGGAAACCAGCGGCCACCAUCUUGGAGAGCUGAAGUAACCACUGCCACUCUCCCACAGAUUGCAACAAUAAAACAGGUGCGUGUUACUCAGCUCCUCUCCCAUACAGCGGGGAAUUGGCAAAAAAUCUCUCCUAGGCUCUCCAGGGGAGGGAUUAUCAGAGCAAGCCUGCAUAAAGACGCGGGGAGAACUAGAGACACCCGACCUUCAACUCCCCCUCCCAUCAGCAGGGAAAACGAAACCUGUAUUGCCAGCGCGGGGGGAGGGGCAAGCUGAAAAAAUCAAAACAAUAGAGUGCCGGGGGGUUUUCAAUAGCCACCCUCCACACCCAACAAACGGCAGGCCCAGAGUACAGUUUGAACUGCCGAGAGGCAUCACUCAGGGGAAAACUAGUCUAGCAGGAGAAACCAGGACUAGCAGGAGAAACCAGGGGAAUAGAGGCCAGGCCCUCGCGACUGGGCAGCUGGAUAAACUCCACCCGCUGCCCGCGAGACUGGGUGGCUGGAGUCCUCCCCCCCGCCUUUGACCCACUGCGCGUCUGGGCAGCUAGAGAUUGCCCGCCUACCAGCAACAGCCGGCCCAUUACCCCUGCGACUGGGUGGCUGGAGACCGCACGCCCGCCUGCGACAGCCAGCCCAUUGCCCCUGUGUCUGGGUGGCUAGAGAUCGCCCGCCCACCAGCGACAGCCAGCCCAUUGCCCCUGCGACUGAGCAGCUGGAAACCGCACGCCUGCUGAUGAAGUGUACCUAUACAAAUAGCAGACAGCAUGGUGAGACAUCUGAAUUUCCCGCUUUCUAUCAGGCACAAGAGAAGAAUACCAAAUAUGCAACAUAUUCAACAUGGGACUGGGUUGGGUCUUUCCAGAGUUGUAAUACAGAAAAAGAUAAUGUUCAAAAUAGCAGAAAUAGGUUGUCAGUAUUCAAAGAUGAUAUGAUGGCAUAUGCUGAAAAUCAAACAGGACCGAGAGAUAAAUGUGGAAUAAGCAUAUCUAGCAUGGUUGUCAGAAAGAAAAUCAACAUACGACCCUGACAUGCGUACACACCAGCAGUGGUACAUUCUGCUUUGAACUUAAAAUUUCAAAACUGAUACAGUUUUCAAUGGUAUCAAAUACCUAGGAAAAAGCCAAGGCAAGUGAGACCUCUUUAGAGAAAUUUGUAAUUUUAUUGGGAGAAUUGGAAGUCAAAUAUCCAAUACAACAACAGCCUGCAGUGUUUUCACUUUGUCUUCAUUUAUACCUCAGGUGGCCCUUCACCUGUAAUAUAAGCAUAACAGUUGGGGACAUUAUCAGCAGAACUCGAUUUAUGGGGUAUUAAAAACAUAUCAAUAACACCAGAAAUUUGGUUCUGUAACACAGACCAAAUCAAGAUCCGUGCGUGUCACUGUUUGGCUUACAUUCAGUUACACCUCUGUGGAGACCUUGAAGAGAGACUUAUAGUCUUGGAUGUUAUCACUAUUCUUAUAACACACCAUACUUUCUAAUGGUACAGAAAAUCAAGAGACUGACUUUUAAAAACAGUUAAUAAAACAUAAAUUCAUCUUCAAAAGCAAAGAUAAUUUUAAGUAGAGAGUAAAAAUCUGGAACAUUUUUACUAAAAAUCUAUGCAACACAAAAAAUAAAAUGAAUUAAGAAAAAAAGUAUAAUUAAAAUGUUUUAGAUAGAAAUAAUAAUUUGGAUAUACAGUUAAUAUCACAUUUGGAACUGGAUACAUGAUGUGAAAGGGAAUUUAAGUAUUUCAUUUGUCUGUGGAAAACUGUUGGUUUUGGCUAGAUUACCCCUGGAUGAUUUCUAAGAUGGUGACCAUGAUUCUUUAUUUUUCACCUAUACUACAUCCAUGAAUAUGAAUAGCACCUCUUUUUUUUUACAUUCAAAAGCACUCUACUUUGUAAAAAUAAAUUAUAUGGUCACAUUAGUUUUCAGCUCUGACCAUUAGUUUUAACAUUCAAAUGAGAAGAAGGUAUAUGCCAUGUCUCAUAGUAUGGCAAUCAAAAACUAAAUGAAAACAAAGGAAAACUGGAGAAAGAGAGGGAGAGGGAGAGUAAGAUAAAUUCAAAAGGAAACAUUUAUAUCUAAUAAUUGCUUUGGAAUGGCAACAGCUUUUCUAGAUAUUAGUGAUGUUUAGAUUCAUGUACUACUGGAGUGUCCUAAAUAAUGUGUGCUCUUGUGUCAUAGCAAUUUCAUUCAUAUAUUUAAAAUAUCAGAAUUUAAGAAUGUAUUCCCUUUAAAUUACGUGAUAUAUUUGCUAUCUGUUAGUAUCCUGCUCAUUUUCCUUGUUGGGAUUUUUCCACUGUCUUUUACAUUAUGAAAUCUGAAUUGUGACCUUGAUCACCAGCAAUCUUGUCAUUUAUUAGUUGGAUUACUGGCUCCUUUUAUCAUUCAUACAGGUCUUUCAUUAAGUACCCCUUUUCCUUUCCAUUAGGUUUAUCCUGUUGCUCUUACAUAUAUUUGUAUAUAGCAUGAUCACAUACUUUGACAUUUAUCUUAACAUCAUAUUCGUUUAAAGUAUGAUAUUCCUAAGACUGUGUUAUAAUCAUGUUCAUUAGGUUUCUGGAAGUGGUCAGAAAACAAUUUUCUACCAUAAAUAGUCAAAUAGGAAGGUUUAGCAUUGCAUAGGAAAAGCAUUUAGAAAACUAGUGUAAUUUCUUCCCUUGAUACAAAGUGCUUCAUUAAAUUCAGAAGCCCUCAUAACUUAUGGUCAUCCACUUGGAAAACACAUUUAUAAAUCAUACUUAAGUGGACUACAAAGAAAGCAAUACUCCAUGGUGUUUGAACUUCAACAUUUAUCCAGUAACAUCUCAAGGUAAAAACAUGUACUAUAUAAUAUAUGGUAUGGGUAGACAAGAUGGUAUAAUAUAAUGUCCAUUGUCACAGUAGAAAAAUUACAUUAUAUGCACAUUUGAAACUGCCAAAUCAUAACCCAUUAUUUUGUACAAGUCAUAGACACAGAUAAUUAUAAUUUUAAAAAGUCUGCAUUGUAGUGAAUCAAAGAGAGAUAAAAGGCCAGAAGUCUUCCAGUCAGAAAACCAAUUCUUCCUUUGAAGCUGGAAAUUAUUUUGCCUCCUUGUAGCUUCACCAGGGUCAUUCCUGUGGUGUUUUUCACUCUUUUUCCUGCCUGACCUUCCUUCCUAUACUUCAUGGCUCUUAAGUGCAGGAUUUAUGUCUGACUCACCUUCACUAUUCCUUGCAAGGAUUCGGGCUGCUCUGUGCAGUAGGUGCUAAUGAAUAUUUAUAUUUGUGAACUGAAUAAAUUUGUGAUCAGGGAAGGUGACACAUACACGUAUUUGCAGCUAUUUGGAGGCUGAGGUAGGAGAACCACAAGUUCAAAGCCACCCUGGGCAGUUUAGGGAGACUUUGUCUCAUAAUAAAAAAUAAAAAAGGACAGAGCUGUAGCUCAGUGGUAGAGCAUCUUGGUUUUAAUCCCCAGUACUACACAGAAAAAAAAAAUCUUAUUCAGUUGUAGAAUAGAAGAAAAGAAGGAAGAGAGGGAGGAAUGGAAGAAGAAACAGAAAUAUCACUUCAUCAAGUAUGAGAAGGGGACAAGUAUUUGUAUAGCAUAGGCAUCUUCCUCACAAUUACCUUGACCCUCUCUGAUCGCCUUUCAUUCUUCCUGUAUCAUGAGCCACAGAAAUAGAAACUAGACUGCCUGUUCUCUUGUUAUUAUUCUGUCAUUUCAGGCUUCAUUGGGGGAAGGACUGAAAAUGCCAUUAUUUACUAAUAGACAUCUAAUUCAGAAUAUGACAGACUCUGAGAACAGACAUUCAGAUCUCCAAACAGAAUUUUAAAAAAGGGAAACGUCAGGCAGAGUGGAUGCUCAUUUGCUUAGAAGCAGUGAAAUCUCUAUUCAUAUGGUGUAAUUUCAUUCAAACGCAAAUUUCAAGAUAACUGAAUCAUGAAAAAAAGACCACCUCCCCAUUCUAUCCAACAGAACCAGAGGGUGCAAUAAUCAGCAGUUGAGAUGAUUUUAAUAUAUGAUUUGAAUUCACUAUUUUUCAUAAGUGCAAAAAGGAUCAAUUUAGAAGUUAAGGAUUCAUUCAGAUUCCCAUCAAUUUUGUUAGGUCUGGUAUGAGAGUCUAUUCAGUACAUCAGCAUGUUUUGUAGGAACUGAUAUUUCAACCACAUUCUGUAUGAGUUAAAAAGAAAAGUAAUGAAACCAAUCUGAAAAUCGCUACUGGUUGCUAAAGAGACAUAUACUUCAAAGUUGGAAAUUGCUUUCUUACUUGAUGGUUUAGACCUAGCUUGUCUUUGUAAGUGAAAGUCAGGUAUCUGAGGUCUAACCACUUUGCUUAAGAACCUGUAUGUGUGAAAUGUGUUUUUAAUGUAGUAGGAAUGUUAUCUCUACAUUAAUGAAGACAAAAUAUUGUGGAAAACAAAUCUACAUAAUUUUGCAACAUCAUGGAUCACAUACCUGCUUCUGGUACCAGAGUGGGUUCCAGACUGGUUACAAACUCCCCCCUGACAUCAAGACCAUCCCCUUUUUUACCUCCAGUCUUUGGCUGAAGCAGUUCCAGGAGAUUAACUUCCAGGCCAGCCCCUUAAAAAAGAAAAGGUGAAAAUAAAAAAGAAUUACUGGGACUAUUAAAUGAUAUUAGUAAAAAAAAAAAAAGAAAAUGUUCUUGAGUGACAUCAGCAAGAUGGAAGACUUCUGACUUUCUCCCAUGGAUGCAACGAAUAAAUACCUAUAGAAACAUUGGAUAUUUUUGUUUCUAAUCCUAAAAGUAUCCAAAUACCCAUCAAAGGUACUUACAUACAGACUAGUAUAGCAACCUGUAUGCCAGUAUAUUGAAUUAUCCAGCUUUUACCAAUCAUACAGUAAAACAACAUUAAUCAAAGAAAGAGUGGUUAUCAUUCAUUGACUUGCUCUUUCAACUGUUCAUCCCUUUAUAGCGCAGUACUGAGGGAUUUGACACUACAGAUAUCCAAGAAUUAAGCAUUUUAAGCAAAACCCUUCACUUUUUCUUACAAAAGGAUAGAUCAUGAGAAAAUACUAAAUGUUAUGUUGAUAAGGCUCUGUCUCCACCAGGCAAAUGUUCCUUGAUCAGUCUCUACAUCUAUGCCCUGGUUUUUGAAAGCAGGAAAUGAGUUAACAUACCCAUCUACACAAGCUUCAUUAUGCUAUUGUUAUGUUAUUAUGUUAGAUAUGUUAACUUGGGAUUCCCUACACAUGAUAGUGUAAGAAGGUGCUUCCAGUUUUAAUUCAAUGACUAAGAAAUCAUGUACAAUCUUAGGAGUAACAUUUCCUUGGAAUUACUAAUGCAGAGCCAGCCCUGGAUAGCAAGGCUUCUAAGACACAGAGUAAGCCUCCAAGGAAACAGCAACAAUCUUUAUAGCAAGGAAAAGUACAAACCUGCCAACUCUGCUCUCCACUUUCCUAAUCAACUUUCAAGAAAUGCUUGUAUCCUUUUCCAGUGUUACUGUCAUGAUUCACACAUGCACCUUACCCACAGGUGUUUUUCUUGCCCUUCCCAUCACCUUGAGCUUCAGGCUGUCCUCCACUUCCUCUCUCCUGAUCAGGUGCCAUAUCCUGACCUUCCCUUGGAGGUUCCUCUUCUUCAGAUGGUUCAUUACCAGACUGCUGAGCCUAUUGGAAGAUGUGUGUAAAUCUAAACAGAAAUAAAAUCUAAACUUGUAUUGACAUCAACAAAACAAAAUUUUAUUGAUAAUACAAAUACCAACUUAAAAAUGCAUAAGGUAUUGAUAUAUAUAUCAAACUACAUGAAGGCUAAAAACCAUUUUUCAACCUGAUUCUGCUGUAUUUAUUUAUUUACCUACCUAUUUACUUUUGGUAAUGGAGUAUGCUUUCCGCUGAGCUAUCGCUCUGGUCCUGUUUAUUUUUGAGACAGGGUCUCUCUAAUUUGCUGAGGCUGGCCAUCAAAUUGCAAUCCUCCUGCCUCAGCCUCCCAAGUCACUGGAAUUACAGGUGUGUGCUGUCAGGCCUAGCUUCUUAUUCUUUUUUUUUUUUCUUUUUGUUAACAAAGCUAGUCUUCUCAUGCUGAGGUUAUUCCCACAGGAGUUAACUGCAGUGACUUUAUAAGGGAUUUGAAUAUACAUGGACAUGGAUGCAUGGGAUCUAUUGUAAGCAUCAGAAGGAAAUCAUCACUCAUAGUUCCUUUGAAUGUAAGAGCAUCCAUCCAGGCCACAGCAGAACAGACUCCUCCUGGAUCAAAGUCUCCUUUAUGACACCAACCAUCAUCCCUUACCAUCAUGGAAAUAUAUUACCCGUCUAGCUGUAAUAUCAACAACAUUUCUCAAAAACGAGCUUCUGUUAAUAGAAAACAUCAAAUAUGAAAGCACUCACGACCACAGCCUCAGCAGGCUGAGAAGAUUCUUGUUCAUCUUUUGUCUCUCUAGAUUUUGGGUUUGGUCUUCCUUGUCUUUUCAUAUUUCACACUGAAAGCUACAUAAUGUGAUUUGAAAUACACAUUUAAUAUGAUGGCAUAGGUGACUAUUUCCAAAGCCCUGAGUUAAUGCCCAAUUUUCUAAAAUGUAGAAUUAUUCUCCAAAGUAAAUCCCAGGAUAAUUGCAUCUCUGCAUUCUUCCCCAGUGUUUUGCAGAGCCUUUAUUUUGUCCAGGCUGGCAGAGAAAUUGCCUUAAGGCACAGGGCAACAUCCUACAUUUUGGAUGAGGUUCAUUUGGACAAGUGGAUUUCCCAUCAUGGAGACAUGUAGGAAAAUACUCCUGGAGAAUUAAAAUUCAAGAGGCUACUGCUUAUGACACACUCCCAACAACUAGGUCCAUUAGUCCCUAAAAUAACAAUUUUCUUGAAGGCACACUCUCCUUAAUUCCCUCCCAAAGCCUUUAUGGGCGUUUUGGUACCAUUGAGAGCACAGGUGAGAUAUUGAGAUAAAGAUCACUAGUUAUGCCACCCACUGGUGCUCUGCACAUCUAAGGGAUGCAGUCACAAUCCCACAUUGUGCCCAUGUUUCCAUGCCCAUUCCUCACUUCCCAACCUGCUGCCCGCCAGAGUCCCCACUUGGGACUUGGGAAUGUGUCCUAUGGGUCUGGAAGACACCUCCAGGAUUCCAAUAACUUCAUCACCACCUCCAACAUUCCUCCCAGCUAUAAAGGUAGCCAACCUCACCACAGUCCACCUAAGUCUUCCCAGCCCCUUUCAGGAUAGCAAAUGCCCAUGGAGAUGGUGUCACCUUUGAAAAGGAUGACGACCUCCAGGUCCCUCCCACUUCCAGUGCUGGAAGCCAGCUGGUGCCUCCUCAUAAUUCUACAAGUCUGACCUAAGGACUCACCUGCUUACAAUCAGCAAGAAAGAAUGAAUACUACCCAAAGAAGAAAGACACCACCAGCCUUGGCAUAGCUCUAGGAACACUAGGAAGGCAGUAGAGCGCAUGUGCAGUAACUGACACACAGCAGGGAGCAUGCGCACUGAGUCAGGCUCCCUGAGUGGGGGGCUGGGCUUUUUCCAGCCUCAGCAGAGACAUUCUGUCUUGCAGAAUGUGACUCUGACAACCACCACCCAACACCUUUUUUUAAAAAAAUUUUGUUUCCCUUGCUGGAUCUUACUUUUUCUACUUUGAGAUUAGAAAGUGCUAGCUUAUCUUUAGGACAAGAUGUAUUUCAGAAAGGCCCACUUUAAAAGGAAUACUUAAUAAGGAACUUAAUAUGUAUUUCUUUCUUUCUUUCUUUUCAGGUCAGACUUGGAACCUGAGUGGUCCUUAUCAUCAAGUCUUCUUCUUUUUUUCUUUCAUUCUUUUUCUUUUCUUUUUCUUUUUAUUGAGUUUUAAAACAUAAAUGACAGCAGAAUUCAUUACAAUUCUUAUUACACAUAUACAGCGCAAUUUUUCAUAUCUCUAGUUGUAUAUAAAGUAUGUUGACACCAAUUUGUGUCUUCAUACAUGUACUUUGGAUAAUGAUGACCAUCACAUUCUACCAUCCUUGCUAAUCCCCUGCUCCCUCCCUUCCCCUCCCAACCCUCUGCCCUAUCUAAAGUUUGUCUAUUCCUCCCAUGACCCCGCUCCCUACCCCACUAUGAAUUAGCCUCCUUCUAUCAGAGAAAACAUUUGGCAUUUGUUUUUUGGGGAUUUGCUUUAAUACGCAUUUUUUAUUUUAUUUUUCAUUAUUUUUAGUUGUAGAUGGACACAAUAUUUUAUUUAUUUUUAUGUGGUGCUGAGGAUCAAACCCAGUGCCUCACAUGUGCUAGGCAAGUGCUCUACCACUUAGCUGGGACUCCAGCCCUCUUUUUCUUGCUUUCUUUCUUUUUUUUAAUUGACCCUGCUAGAGAUUGAACAUGGGGGCACUCUACCACUGAAAUAUCCUCAUCACUUUUUAUAUUUCCUUUUGUCACAGGGGUUCGUGGAAGUUGCAAAGCUGGCCUGGAAAAGUGAAGUUUUCUGGACUUAGCCUCCUUUGUCACUAAGUUUGUAGACAUGUGCUGUAGUGCCUGGCCUUCAUAUGUAUCUUUGUAUGUAUUUUGAACAGAAAGUUCUUUCCUUGCUGUUGCUGCUGCUUUGUCUUUUCCUUCUUUUCUUGUGUGUGUGUGUGUGUGUGUGUGUGGGAGGGGGUUCAUCAUUUCAAUGUCUUUUUCCCACACUGAGAUAAUAAAUGCAUUCAGAUUUGUUGUCUUUGAGGAGAGUAAAAUGUGUACAUUUAAAUUUCUGACUAUAUCUGUCAUCAUUCAGCCAGGAUAUUCAGAAAUAUACAUAGAUAUUGGUCUUAGCAUCUAGGUUAAGGCUACUGUCACAUGGUAUACAGCAGUAAUGGCUACCUCAUCAUAUACAGAUGAGCAUCAUCCUCCAAUAUUAGCCCAAUGACUUGUAGCAUAUGCCAAAGCUGAAGUUUUCACUCAGUGCUAUAAGGGAGCAGAGUACCUCAGCAGAGGAAGUGGCACCAAAGAGAUGGAAAGGCUUAAAGGAUAUUCAUUUGGAUUUUGAAGUCUAGCAUAGGAGGGGAUCUUUUAAGGGUUUGGGAUUGGGAAGGAAUUGUGAUGUAAUGAUUCAAGGUUGUUGGACACAGGGAAGCUCAGAGUUUUUAAUUUAUUUGUAAUUGACCCUUAUUAUUUGUGUGUUUAUGGGAUAUAACAUGAUAUUUCAGUAUGUAUGUAUAUCAUGUGUAAUAAUCAAAUCAGGGUAAAUAGCAUUUCCUUCACCGCAAUGAUUUAUCCAUUCUUUGUAUGGGAAAGUUUCAAAAUCUAUCUGCUAAUAAUUCUGAAAUACACAGCCAAUUGUUAACUAUACUCACCCUAGUCUGUUAUAGUACUCUGGAAUGUAUCCCUUCUAUCUAACUGUAUUUUGGUGGCCAAUAUCCACCUUCUGUCUGUCACCUUCCCUUCUUCUCCUCUCAGCCUCUGCUGACCUCUGUUCUCCUCUCCACUUCUAUGAGGUCAACUUUCUAAGCAUCCACAUGUUGAAGAGGACAUGUAGCACAAGUGUUUCUGUAAUGAAGAUGCAGCUUUUGAAACACAAGUUUGAAAGAAUGUUGGGGUGAAAAAAUGUCACUUGACACUUUUGUUUGUGGAGUGAUGGGCCUUUCCUGCAGCUGGUGAAAUGAACAAUGAAGUUUUGGGGAACUUUACUUUCCUGGGUAAGAGAUUCCUGCAUUAGUAUAGUUAUGUUAAUGUAACCAGUGGCAUAUAAACUCUGGUUUAUGUGAACAGUGGGCUGUGUGGAUACUUUCAGUUCUCAUUACUUCCUUUUAUAUACCUCUCAGUUUAGUGUGGGAAAUGAGUCACUGCUCCCACUGUCAGGGUACAGUAUAUCUGCCUCCAAUAAACUAUUGUCUUAUGUCCCACCUCACCUCUAUCAGCAGAAUUGACAUGAGGUUUAAGAGCUCCCUCUCAUCGUGCUUCAUUGCAUGAUCAAAGAAGCUAACUUUCCCAAAGUGUAAACAGCAAGAUCCAUUUUUUUUUUUUCAAAAUGAUUGCCUGACCAUCCCGAGGAGCAUGCACUUAGAUCCAAGAUUGCUCUAGAAUAUCCCAAUAGGGAAAGCCCCUGUUUGAGGCACCAUACAUGUUAUUUGCAUCUCAUACAUCUAAUGUAAACCAGGAACAAGCUUUCUGGGACAUGCAGAAUAAACAUUAUAGGCAAGACACAGGAAUCUGUCAAUCACUCUUUGUUUAACAGAAAAGAAAAAAGCCCACCAAAGGCAAAUAACUUAGAAGCACAUAUAAGCUAAGUUCCCCUUCUUUUUUUCUAUUUUUUUAUUAUUAGUUGUUCAAAACAUUACAAAGCUCUUGACAUAUUUCAUACAUUUGAUUCAAGUGGGUUAUGAACUCCCAUUUUUAUCCCAUAUACAGAUUGCAGAAUCACAUCGGUUACACAUCCACGUUACAACAGACACUAGUAUGGCAGUAUGUAAGUUCCCCUUCUGAGUGGAUGGGCAAGAUUCCUUUGUCACUGCUCCCACUGUCAGGGUACAGCAUAUCUCCCUCCAAUAAACUCUUAACUACUUUCUGUUAUCUUGAUGAAUUCUUCUCAUGCUUUCCAUCUCAUCCCUUUCCUGCACUGGGCAUCUUCUGAACGUCCCAUGACAGAAAAUAGUUCAUGAAAGGUAAAGAGAAGAAGGGGACCCUGAUUAGCAGAAAGCUUUCUGUUAGUAAGUUAGGAUACAGUGUUGCAGUGGCUUCUAUACCUUCCAUGUGACUGGGCUUCUCUUAAGAAAUAUACUGAGCAGAAAGAAGAAAUUUCUCAGUCUUUGUCUUUCCUUAAUCAGUACCAUGAAUAGGCAUAUGGUUCUGUAAAAUUUUAAAAAUUAUACACACACACACACACACACAUAUACCCCACACACAAUGAGAGCAGUCAUUAUCUCAUUAUCUCAUGACAAUAUUUAGCUUAUCUUUUAUCUUGUUUGGUCAUUCUCAGCAAGGUAUUAUCAUUACCAAUGUUUAUUCCUUUUUUUUCCAUUCUUCAUUCUAGUUUUUAAUGUAGUACACUGCAAAGCACUCAACCAAUGGGAGAUGCUAAGUCCCAGAUUUAGACUUUCAACAAGCAGCUACUUAGCAAAUAGUCAAAUAUUUGCUAUCAGAUAGCUGGAGGUUGUGCGUCCUGAGGAUUUGUGUUUGAUGAGCUGUGAAUGGCUUUAUGGCAGCUUAUAAGGGCAGGCUUCAACUGAUGCCCAUCUCUAGCUUCCUGUCUCCAUUAUUGUGAGAGAUUAUCCCUGAACAACCAGAAGUGUUCGAAGGACUGUAAUUAGAUUUGGAUGUGAAAAGUUGUGAAACAGUUCUGGUGAAACAUUGGAAACAGCAAAAUGUAUGGAAUACCUUGUAGAGACAAGAAUUUCCUGAUGCAUGAUCCUAAGGACUCUCUCAAGGAUGUUAAGUCAGGAUUGUGGGCAGGAAUCCAUGGCAGCACCUCUACCGGAGGUAUGCCUCAAUUCCUCACAUGACCAAUAUUCCCCAUCUUCUAGGCAAGGAUUCUAUACACAAAUUUAGCUUAACAUAGGACCCAGGGAUGCAGGAAGGUCAGAAAAUGUCUACAGAUUCUGGGUCACUGUCAAAAGAGUGCUGUAAUCCACACCACCUAAUCUCAUACUGGUGUCUGAUAUUUUAUUCAUCUAUUCCCUACCAUGUUAAAUACAAUUCUCAUGAAUUAGGAGCACACUAAGAUGACGGAGGUACCCUCAGUACAGCAGAGUAAUGCAUGACAUUAACGUACACUUCAGCCCAAGCACAGCCUCCAUAUGAUGCUGAGAACACAAGAAACCACCUGUCAGCCCUUUUGCCUGUCAGUUCCUGUCUCUCCAUGUGAUGCUUACCAUGUUCAAGACAGACACUACUAUCUGCAGAUAAAUCUUACAGGAAGUAUUGGGGAUUAUGUUUUGUGGCAACCCUGCAGGACCCAUAUCAAGGAUAGCCUUUUAGUGUGAAAACACUUGAGUGCAAAGGAGGACUACAAAAUUGGGUUUUCAUGUGUAUGUAAGAAUAAUUUUAUAGCCCAAUAUAUUCACCAUUGAGGGUGUCCAUGAUCCAUUAUACUGUUUUCCAAUGUGUAGAUUCUAAUCAAUUUUGUAAAUCUUAAAACAGAAUAUAUUAUGAAGUAGAAUAUAUAUGGAAAUCUUUUACAUUCUUCUUAUGUUGACCAAUAUAAAUAAAAAUAUAUGCAUCAUAAAAGAACAUUUAUCUGUAAAGUUACAAGUGAAUAUUUACCCAAAUGAAACACAUCAUUUAUAUUUAAAGAGUUUUUUCAUGUAGCUUCUGAAGAAAUUUCAAAACGCAGAGUCUUAGAAAAUAAAAACAUCUCAUCAAGGGGUAAUGUAUAAAAUAGCCAAUUUCACUAUACCAUUUGACUGAUAUCCAGGGAAUAUCAAAAGUUUCCUAAAAAGAUCAAAUGUUUGUUCAUUUGAUAGAGAAAAUUUUAUCUCAAUGUCUCAAUGCUUGCUUUUUCAUUUUUAAAUUAGU